CGUCCCCCGUCGCCGCCGCCGCUGCCUCCAGCUGCAGCUGGCCGCGGCGGGAGAGUGGGAGGGGUGCUGGGGUGGAGGAUGCUACUCCCGACUGAAGGGAGAGGAAGAAACGGAAACAGGAACCGCGGCCGCCGCUUAACGGAGCCUUCGGCGCCACUGACUGAGGGAAAGCGCAAGGCGGCGCGAGCCAGGCAGCGGCUGACAGCGCGAGACCGAGCGCGAGCCGGGUCCAGGACGCGCGACCCCGAGCAGCGCCGGCCCCAUUCCGUGAGGAAAGGGAGGGACGGGUUGGCUGGGAGCCGGGGAGGGGGCGGCGGGGGCCUGGAGCCCAGAGAACCCGGCCACUCGGGUCGGCCCGAGACCACGCGCGCACGCGCCGGAGUGGCUCCGACCGGGAGCGCAGGCGGGGAAGCCGCCGGCCGGCGCGAGCGAGGGAGCGAGCGAGCGAGCGUGCGCGCGCGGAGAGGGGCGCGCGCCCCUCGGCGUCCCAGCCUGCUGGGGGAGGGCGCGCAUGCGCCGGCCGCGGCCUCCUCCAGCGACCCUGGCAUGUGCACAGGCUCCGCCCCGUCCCCUUCCUCUCUGUGCGGGUGGACAGCGGAGCUGCAGCAUCCACCGGGCCACGGCGGGACCCGAGUUCCAGCCGGACAGCGGCCGCGCGCGGGCUCCGGCUUUGGUCUCUACAGGCGAAGGCCGCCUGAGGGUCGGAGGCUGAGGGGAGCAGCGCUCCCCACGCCCUGGCCGGCCUGGCCCACCACCCAGAGGCGCACCCCGCUGGGGCUCAAUAGGGCUCUGUACUAGUUUCGGGGUACUCUCUGCUGCUCAUCCGCUGAGGCACCAGCACACAGUGCCACCUCGGCUCCGGGCGGUCCGGCUACCCUGCGGGCUCUGUCUUCAUCUGAAGAGAAAGAACCCCGCAGAGCCCGAGUUCGAAGCCCGGCCGUUCGCAGCCGCUGCUGCCUCAGCCCUUCGGAGGCGGAAGUUUAUUGAGUACAGGAGAGGAGAGGCUUUUCCCUAGGAUGCUUCCUACCCGCUCGCACUCGGGGAUCCUGACGCCCGCGAUGCUGAGCCGAGUGCCGAAGGGCUACCUCCGACAGACCGUCCGGGAGGGCGAGCUGGGCGGGAGGACCCAGCCGCGCAGCCAGGGCACACAAAGUAGUCGCGGGCCGAAGGGGUGCUGCCGGGGCCAAUCAGAGCGGGAAAACCAGUGAGUGGAGUGCGAACUGGCCAAUCAGAGGGCCGGAAGAUGAGCUUCCCGUGCCGAACUCUUCCCUGUAGCCUGGGGACCAGAUCCCAAGCCUGAGGACUCAGCCGGGUGACUGAGUAGAAAAGCUGCCCUCAAGACAAUUAUUCCUCCCAGCACAGAUAAAUACUAGUAAAUACUUUGGAAACGUAUCUCUGAGUAAACAGGGCCACCCUUUUAUAUGCUAGUAAUCAAAAAAACACAGAAAAGACAUUAAAGAGGUCGUAGCCUGCCAAGAAUGCAACCUACCUAAUAACUCUCAUAAAUUCCCAAUGUUUAUUCUAUAUCAGGAACUGUGUUUCUAAAAUGCAAAGGACAGUGCUUUUUAAAAAGGAAAAAAAAAAAAAUGCCUGUGCCUUCAGGAGCUCCGCACCCUGAGAAGCUUUUCCGGACCUGUGACUGGGUUAAUGUCUCUUCGAAAUAAAGCUCUCUGAGAAAACACCGUGGCUUAUUGAAGGUCACACAAAACUCUGGUGAAGUCAGAAUUAUGAUCUAGCCAAAAAGCUUGGGUGUCAUCAUUCAACAAAUCUGUAGUCAUUUAUUAAAUGCGUAGAUAACUUCCGUGAGACUCUCAGUUCUCUGUUGCAAAUAAGCAAAAUUUAGGCUUAUACUGUACUUAGAUGGAUUAAGGGCUAAAAUUUCAACAGUCAAAACCCUGAAUUAUUUUUCCUUUUGUGUGAGUAUGUGCAUGCUAAGGGUGUGUUUUCUCCUGGGCUACACCCACAGCCUGGAACAUUUUUAGGAGUCAGAGGUAAAAUGUUUACUUUGAGGCUUCAGCACAGCAUUUAAAAAGCACUUUAACAAGGAUGUAUGGCUUGAAUGUAUUCAAGGGAAAAAGAGGAACCAUUUCUAGUUAAUUAACACACGCUACCAUUUGCAGUACUUGAAGAUCUCUACAUUCAAAGUUUUAUGUGUGCCUCGAACUCUCUGCUCCUUUAAUCUGGCUUUAAUUAUCUCCUAGGAAAUAUUAAAACUAUAGGAAUCAAAGCAUCCCACCUACUUUCUAUUUAAGAAAAAGCCACUAGAAAUAUUUGUGAAGAACUUAGUACAUCUUUAUAGAACAGCAUAGUAUAUAAGAAAGCGCCAAACUGAUGACUCUGAAAUACAGUGAGAAAGUAGUUCUUCAGCAGUUCAGGUCUCUGCUCAGUGUCACAGUACGCUGCUCUCAAAGAUCCUUCAGGCCAUGCUCAGGAUAUAGUUACCAUCCCAGAAUUAGAAGUAUCAGCUAAGCAACUGAUAUGUGGGAACAAAUCUUUUCACAUUCAGUUCUAGACCAGUAAUGAAUUUCUGGAAAAUUCAAACAAGAAGUAAUACUAACUGAGCUCUUUGAAAACUACAGUCUUAAAUCGAUCGAUUGCUGCGACGCAUACCUGAUUCUAGCACUGAGGAGGGAAAGCUGAGGCCAAAGGAUUGUUUUAAGUUAUAGUCUAGCCUGGACUAUCUAGUGAGCUAGAAAGACCCUGUCUCAAAUAAUAGUAGUGACUAAUUGAUUCCAAAAAAAAUUGGGAAGGAAGGCUCAGUUUUGGGAGUGUUUGUCUAGCAUACUACAAAUCCUAGAUUCAACCUCCAACACUAUAAAGGAAAAUAUAUAUAUAUAUUACUACAUGUCUUCUAUUCUCUCCAAAGGGACUCUGUAACUCAAAUCUUCCACAAGCCAGUUAAGUGUUAACCGGUUGUACACAUCACUCACAGAGAGCACACCUUGUGAGGGCGUUUUCUCUAUAGUCUGCAGCCUCCCACUCUGUGGCUGAAACUCCUCACACUCUCUCUUCUCGCUCCAGCUGCUCACUUGGGUCUCUAGUCCCUGGCUUCUGAUUUGCAUUAACACAAGAUGGGAUGUCACCUCAUCCCCCACUGUUCCCUUCUGAAAUGAAGUCAUGAGCCUAUCUUUACUUAGCCUCAAAAUCACAGACAGGUUCAGCACAAGAAAAAAAAAUUUUUUUAAGUUUAAAUUUAAAGAAAAAAAAAAAAAAACUUCACAACAUUCUCAUCACCUGUUACACUAAGAACGAGAGGGCCCUAGCAGCUCAUUAGUUUCUUCUGUGGUUCAGCCGGGGUUAAUUCUUAGUCAUCAGUUAGAAGUGUGGAUGUGAGAAGUGAAGGGGUCAACUCCUAGAUAAUGGGAAAUAUCCAAAUGAAAGUGAGGUACAUGAGUGGUUACUUUAUUGAGAGAUUAGCUAGAUCAAAGUUAAUGAACUUGAAUGCUAUCAUAUUUCCUAAGUGGUGAACAUUCAUGUAGAAACUAGUUUGAAAUUUACUACCAUUUUACUAUGCCUAUAAUAAAAAUAAUACUGGAGGUGUAACAUUGCUGAGAACAAGGCCCCAUGUUAAACUCUUUUCUUCCACCAUUUAAUUCUCCAAUCAAACCUUUGAGGUAUCUCCUAUGACUAGAGUGGGGGAAUCAGGAGACUCAGCAACAUCUGCUUAAGAAGUAACUUAAAACUAUUGCAUCUCUACCAAUGUAUACCAACUAAUGUAGUUCUAGAAACAUUCUUGAUAACUUUUACUUUUCUUUGUUUUAUAGUAGUUAUAUGCCUUUUCACCUCUACGAUAUUCUAUUUUUCAGGAAAUCAGAAAAAGGAUAAUACAGUUGCUACUGUGGACAAGAAGAUAGGACCUUGAAUAACGAUUUUUAUGCAUUGACUACCUCCUGCUUUCUCAUCUGUAAAAUAAAGAAAUUAUUCUA